UACAAGUGAACCUUUCAGAGCUGGGCAGACUUCCUAGUGCAGGCCAAUGCCUGUGAACUAAGCGUCUUUCUCAUUGGCCACUCCAUCCUUAAUUCACAGCAACACAGGCACUAAAUAAAGGUUUAAUACCAUAUUGUCUUGUCUUGGAACUAACAGCUUUCCUAUUCCACUACUAUCAGUUCCACCACUGUCCUCAGAGCUCUGUGACUGGAUCUACAGAUGGGACUCCAUAGCUGAUUCAGAGUCUCAUUCUGUCACCCAGAAUGGAGUGCACCGGUGCGAUCUCUGCUCACUGCAACCUCUGUCUCCCAGGCUCAAGCGAUUCUCCUGCCUCAACCUCCCGAGUAGUUGGGACUACAGGUGCUGAGUUCUGCAUUUCGUGACACCAGUUAUGGAAUGGGUGACCUUAAUUGUCUACUGCAUGUUUCCUGGGCCGGAAUGCCAAUUGGAUAACAGGAGGGUCAUGGUUGCCCUGUGGACAGGUUGAUGGAAAGUUGUAAGCCAGGACUUGGCUGACGCAGAAGAAGACAUAGACUGCAAAAACUGAUUGAUCAUGAAAAGUAAACUUGCAAAGGACAGCACGCAUGCACUCUGAAGCCUACAGGAGAGGUGCUCACACUUACACCUCCCAUGGCUUUAUUGCCAUGCUUUAUUCAUUCAUUUCCUUAGUAUGCCCCAAUAGAUGAUGGUGGACACAAGCAUUUGAUGAUAGUUUCUUAACCAAUUUCUACCUCUUAAACAACUCCUGAAUAAUAAAAAACAAUAAAUUUUAUCUAUAGAGAUGAAAAGAUCUUAGAAAUUAUUUGAGGUAGUUCACCUUAAUGAGAAUGAGAAGGAAAAUAAGUUGCCCAAGGUCAUAGAGAUUUUAAGGCACAUAGAGUCUGUUUUAAGGUACGUAGAGUCUGUGUAUGCACAUUAUCUCAUUUAGUCUUCAUUGUGUCUCUGUGAGGUAGUCGUGGAAACUGGCAUAAUUGCUAUUUUAUUGAGGAGAAUGUUGAGUUUCAGAAAUUUUAAUACCCAACAUAAGAAGAAAAGUGAGGUAUAAAAUCAGGUCUUGAACUCAGAGCUUUAACUCCUCCUGCAAUAUUCUGUGGCCUCUGAGUUGUGCCCAGAAUGAGAAUUUUAAUAAACCCUGGCCUGUAUUAGCUUCCUACUAUUUUUACUAAACCAUUACUUUUUUUCCUUGAAUAAAACUUGGUAUGUUAGCUCACAAAAUCUGUUGUUCUAUUAUUCCAUGUUCUGUGUAAUUCUUACCAACAAACUUAUUAUUAUCAAUAAAGCAAACCAAAAAAAAA
rnacentral:lncRNA from 10 species